UACGGGGGGGGGCAAGCGUUGUUCGGAAUUACUGGGCGUAAAGGGCUCGUAGGCGGCCAACUAAGUCGGAUGUGAAAUCCCCAGGCUUAACCUGGGAACUGCAUCCGAUACUGGAUGGCUUGAAUCCGGGAGAGGGAUGCAGAAUUCCAGGUGUAGCGGUGAAAUGCGUAGAUAUCUGGAGGAAUACCGGUGGCGAAGGCGGCAUCCUGGACCGGCAUUGACGCUGAGGAGCGAAAGCUAGGGGAGCGAACAGG
rnacentral:rRNA from 1 species